CAGCCGCCGCGGUAAUACGGAGGGGGCUAGCGUUGUUCGGAAUUACUGGGCGUAAAGCGCACGUAGGCUGCUUUGUAAGUCAGAGGUGAAAGCCCGGGGCUCAACCCCGGAUGUGCCUUUGAGACUGCAGAGCUAGAACGUCGGAGAGGUGAGUGGAAUUCCGAGUGUAGAGGUGAAAUUCGUAGAUAUUCGGAAGAACACCAGUGGCGAAGGCGGCUCACUGGACGACUGUUGACGCUGAGGUGCGAAAGCGUGGGGAGCAAACAGGAUUAGAUACCCGCGUAGUCCCUGUCUCUUAUAC
rnacentral:rRNA from 1 species